CCAUAUUCAAAGCCACUAGCCCUGUUUUCUCAGGCUGAAGUGCAAUGGCGUGAUCUCGGCUCACUGCAACCUCCGCCUCCUGGGUUCAGGCAAUUCUCCUGCUUCAGCGUCCUGAGUAGCUGGGAUUACAGGC
rnacentral:lncRNA from 13 species